GGUAUGAUACCGCUGCCAGCCCGCGCUGCGAUUUUACUGAGGCGGGCGGCCUGUGUCGGUCUGACACAGUACAUCUUCAUAACCGGUUUUU
rnacentral:ncRNA from 1 species